rnacentral:rRNA from 1 species
CCUACGGGGGGCUGCAGUGAGGAAUAUUGGUCAAUGGACGAGAGUCUGAACCAGCCAAGUCGCGUGAAGGAUGACUGCCCUAUGGGUUGUAAACUUCUUUUAUAUGGGAAUAAAAUGUUCCACGUGUGGGAUUUUGUAUGUACCAUAUGAAUAAGGAUCGGCUAACUCCGUGCCAGCAGCCGCGGUAAUACGGAGGAUCCGAGCGUUAUCCGGAUUUAUUGGGUUUAAAGGGAGCGUAGGUGGAUUGUUAAGUCAGUUGUGAAAGUUUGCGGCUCAACCGUAAAAUUGCAGUUGAUACUGGCAGUCUUGAGUACAGUAGCGGUGGGCGGAAUUCGUGGUGUAGCGGUGAAAUGCUUAGAUAUCACGAAGAACUCCGAUUGCGAAGGCAGUUCACUGGACUGCAACUGACACUGAGGCUCGAAAGUGUGGGUAUCAAACAGGAUUAGAUACCCGUGUAGUC